UUUUUGCGUUAGUGAUUGCAGUGGCAUCCUUUUUAUGAGAUGAUAAGAAUGCAUUUUAAUUGAAGCUUAAAGGUGCUUGGCAUAAAAUUGCUGAGGUAAGGUAAUAAAAAGAUAUAACGGAAAGCGCGACCUUUA
rnacentral:sRNA from 1 species